rnacentral:rRNA from 1 species
UACGAAGGGGGCUAGCGUUGUUCGGAUUUACUGGGCGUAAAGCGCACGUAGGCGGAUCGUUAAGUCGGGGGUGAAAUCCUGGAGCUCAACUCCAGAACUGCCUUCGAUACUGGCGAUCUAGAGUCCGGAAGAGGUGAGUGGAACUCCUAGUGUAGAGGUGGAAUUCGUAGAUAUAGGAAGUAACACCGAGUGGCGAAGGCGGCUCACUGGUCCGGUACUGACGCUGAGGUGCGAAAGCGUGGGGAGCAAACAGG